UGAGGAAUUUUCCGCAAUGGGCGAAAGCCUGACGGAGCAAUACCGCGUGGGGGAUGAAGGAUUUUGGUCUGUAAACCUCUUUUCUCAAGAAAGAAGUUCUGACGGUACUUGAGGAAUAAGCAUCGGCUAACUCCGUGCCAGCAGCCGCGGUAAUACGGGGGAUGCAAGCGUUAUCCGGAUUUAUUGGGCGUAAAGCGCCUGUAGGUUGUUUAAUAAGUCUGUUGUUAAAGACUAGGGCUUAACCCUGGGAAAGCAAUGGAAACUAAUANACUUGAGUAUGGCAGGGGUAGAGGGAAUUUCUAGUGUAWCGGUGAAAUGCGUAGAUAUUAGAAAGAACACCGGUGGCGAAAGCGCUCUACUGGACCAUUACUGACACUCAGAGGCGAAAGCUAGGGGAGCGAAAGGGAUUAGAUACCCCUGUAGUCCUAGCCGUAAACGAUGGAUACUAGAUGUUGUGUUAUUUAUACAGUAUCGUAGCUAACGCGUUAAGUAU
rnacentral:rRNA from 1 species